rnacentral:rRNA from 1 species
GAGUUUGAUCCUGGCUCAGGAUGAACGCUGGCGGCGUGCCUAAUACAUGCAAGUCGAGCGAACGGACGAGAAGCUUGCUUCUCUGAUGUUAGCGGCGGACGGGUGAGUAACACGUGGAUAACCUACCUAUAAGACUGGGAUAACUUCGGGAAACCGGAGCUAAUACCGGAUAAUAUUUUGAACCGCAUGGUUCAAAAGUGAAAGACGGUCUUGCUGUCACUUAUAGAUGGAUCCGCGCUGCAUUAGCUAGUUGGUAAGGUAACGGCUUACCAAGGCAACGAUGCAUAGCCGACCUGAGAGGGUGAUCGGCCACACUGGAACUGAGACACGGUCCAGACUCCUACGGGAGGCAGCAGUAGGGAAUCUUCCGCAAUGGGCGAAAGCCUGACGGAGCAACGCCGCGUGAGUGAUGAAGGUCUUCGGAUCGUAAAACUCUGUUAUUAGGGAAGACAUAUGUGUAAGUAACUGUGCACAUCUUGACGGUACCUAAUCAGAAAGCCACGGCUAACUACGUCG